GCUUAACACAUGCAAGUCGAGCGUCGAAAGGUGAAGGGGUAACCCUUUUCCCUGAAAGCGGCGAACGGGUGAGUAACACGUGGGCAACGUGCCCCAGACACUGGGAUAACAACGGGAAACCGUUGCUAAUACCGGAUAACCCCUGCGCACCGCAUGGUGUACAGGGCAAAGCUCCGGCGGUCUGGGAUCGGCCCGCGGCCUAUCAGCUUGUUGGUGGGGUAACGGCCUACCAAGGCGAUGACGGGUAGCUGACGUGAGAGCGUGACCAGCCACACUGGGACUGAGACACGGCCCAGACUCCUACGGGAGGCAGCAGUAGGGAAUCUUGCUUAAUGGGCGCAAGCCUGAAGCAGCGACGCCGCGUGAGGGAUGAAUGCCUUCGGGUUGUAAACCUCUUUCAGCGGGGACGAAGCCGCAAGGUGACGGUACCCGCAGAAGAAGGUCCGGCCAACUACGUGCCAGCAGCCGCGGUAAUAC
rnacentral:rRNA from 1 species